rnacentral:tRNA from 1 species
UAGCUCAAUCAGUAGAGCGUAGCGCUAACAACGGUAAGGUCGUGGGUUUGAUUCCCGU